UACGGAGGGGGCGAGCGUUAUUCGGAAUUAUUGGGCGUAAAGGGCGCGUAGGCGGCUUGAUAAGUCAAAGGUGAAAUCCCUCGGCUCAACUGAGGAACUGCCUUUGAAACUGUCGGGCUUGAGGCCGGGAGGGGGUAGCGGAAUUCCCAGUGUAGCGGUGAAAUGCGUAGAUAUUGGGAGGAACACCGGUGGCGAAGGCGGCUACCUGGACCGGUUCUGACGCUGAGGCGCGAAAGCGUGGGUAGCAAACAGGAUUAGAAACCCCAGUAGUCC
rnacentral:rRNA from 1 species